AGUGAACGCUGGCGGUAGGCCUAACACAUGCAAGUCGAACGGCAGCACAGUAAGAGCUUGCUCUUACGGGUGGCGAGUGGCGGACGGGUGAGGAAUACAUCGGAAUCUACUUUUUCGUGGGGGAUAACGUAGGGAAACUUACGCUAAUACCGCAUACGACCUACGGGUGAAAGCAGGGGAUCUUCGGACCUUGCGCGAUUGAAUGAGCCGAUGUCGGAUUAGCUAGUUGGCGGGGUAAAGGCCCACCAAGGCGACGAUCCGUAGCUGGUCUGAGAGGAUGAUCAGCCAAACUGGAACUGAGACAAGGUCCAGACUCCUACGGGAGGCAGCAGUGGGGAAUAUUGGACAAUGGGCGCAAGCCUGAUCCAGCCAGACCGCGUGGGUGAAGAAGGCCUUCGGGUUGUAAAGCCCUUUUGUUGGGAAAGAAAAGCAGCAGGUUAAUACCCCGCUGUUCUGACGGUACCCAAAGAAUAAGCACCGGCUAACUUCGUG
rnacentral:rRNA from 1 species